CAAUAGCGUAUAUUAAAGUUGUUGCGGUUAAAAAGCUCGUAGUUGGAUCUCGGCAGGCAGGGGGUGGUUCGCUCUUAGCGCUACUGCCCCAUUUGCCUGUGUGAUUGGCGGAGGUUUCGGGGUGCUCUUCGUUGAGUGACCCGGGGCGCCGUCAGGUUUACUUUGAAAAAAUUAGAGUGCUCAAAGCAGGCUUUUCACGCUCGAAUAUUCGUGCAUGGAAUAAUGGAAUAGGAACUCGUUUCUAUUUUGUUGGUUUUCGGAAAUCGAGUUAAUGAUUAAUAGGGACAAUUGGGGGCAUUAGUAUUCAGACGACAGAGGUGAAAUUCUUGGACCGUCUGAAGACUAACUACUGCGAAAGCAUUUGCCAAGAGUGUUUUCAUUAA
rnacentral:rRNA from 1 species